UGCGGAGGGGCAACUGCUGGUAGUUGCGCGUGCCUGUUAAGCACGUCCCCCGCUGGUUCGAUCCCAGCCUCCGCAG
rnacentral:tRNA from 1 species